rnacentral:lncRNA from 1 species
UGGCAUGCCUAAACCCCUCAUUUUUAUCAUUUUAUUUUACAGGGUGAGAGCUGAAUGUAGGCUCCAACAGGAAGACGGCAUUGAAGCCUGGUUGCUUGUUACUACUCAGAAUGCCAUCUACAAAAGGAAAUUAUGUAAAAAGCAAUAAAGAACCCCUUUUGUUCUUGCAGGAGUCAGUGUUUCAUAACUCUUUCUGUGAUAUCGUCUGUAUAAGUUGAACCUCUAAAGGACAGAGCAGAGUGUGGAGACCCACAACUGGAACUUUUUC